CACUGAAAUGCUAAAUAUUGGAUAGCGUUGACCUUUUAAGUCAAAACCUGGUGCUUACCGACCACCUUCAGUGA
rnacentral:tRNA from 1 species